rnacentral:hammerhead_ribozyme from 1 species
AUCCAUCUAACUCGUCCAAAAUAGGACGAAACGCGCGUCCUGGAU